AGAGUUUGAUCCUGGCUCAGGAUGAACGCUAGCUACAGGCUUAACACAUGCAAGUCGAGGGGAAACGACAUCGAAAGCUUGCUUUUGAUGGGCGUCGACCGGCGCACGGGUGAGUAACGCGUAUCCAACCUGCCCACAACUUGGGGAUAACCUUGCGAAAGUAAGACUAAUACCCAAUGAUAUCUCUAGAAGACAUCUGAAGGAGAUUAAAGAUUUAUCGGUGAUGGAUGGGGAUGCGUCUGAUUAGCUUGUUGGCGGGGUAACGGCCCACCAAGGCGACGAUCAGUAGGGGUUCUGAGAGGAAGGUCCCCCACAUUGGAACUGAGACACGGUCCAAACUCCUACGGGAGGCAGCAGUGAGGAAUAUUGGUCAAUGGGCGAGAGCCUGAACCAGCCAAGUAGCGUGCAGGAUGACGGCCCUAUGGGUUGUAAACUGCUUUUAUAAGGGAAUAAAGUGAGUCUCGUGAGACUUUUUGCAUGUACCUUAUGAAUAAGGACCGGCUAAUUCCGUGCCAGCAGCCGCGGUAAUACGGAAGGUCCGGGCGUUAUCCGGAUUUAUUGGGUUUAAAGGGAGCGUAGGCCGGAGAUUAAGCGUGUUGUGAAAUGUAGACGCUCAACGUCUGCACUGCAGCGCGAACUGGUUUCCUUGAGUACGCACAAAGUGGGCGGAAUUCGUGGUGUAGCGGUGAAAUGCUUAGAUAUCACGAAGAACUCCGAUUGCGAAGGCAGCUCACUGGAGCGCAACUGACGCUGAAGCUCGAAAGUGCGGGUAUCGAACAGGAUUAGAUACCCUGGUAGUCCGCACGGUAAACGAUGGAUGCCCGCUGUUGGUCUGAAUAGGUCAGCGGCCAAGCGAAAGCAUUAAGCAUCCCACCUGGGGAGUACGCCGGCAACGGUG
rnacentral:rRNA from 1 species